AUCUCAUUGUUUAAAAAAAAAACUAGAUUUUUUUUUAGUAUACUAUGGGACCAGGGUCUAAGAAAACAAAAGAAAAAUUACAGAUCCACUAUUCUCCAAGGUAAAGAGACCCCUCUACAGUCAUCAUUAAGUAAUAAUCUAAGGCUAUGAGGUGGUUGAUCAAGAAAAUGGUAUCCCUACUGUAUUUUCAAGGCUUCCUUUGUGUUUGUGCAUGUGUUCCAAUUUCGCGAGAGCUAUUACUGCUGCCUAUGAAUAUGAUUCCACCAUUACCUUCCUAAAUCCUAGCUUCCAGGCCAUUUGCAUAACGUGGAGAAUGCCCCAAAUCUCUGCUUGAAAAGUUACAUAGCUUCCAAUGUUAAUCAUAAAGCCACCAAUCUAACGCCCUUGUUCAUCCGAAUGAGCCCUCCACAAUCCACUGCCUGCCAUGCCAUUAACAGCCCCAUCCGUAGUCAACUUAGUCUAUCCUUCAUUUGGAGGUUACUUUUUAGAAGUUGACCCAAUAUUUGGCCCAUUCUACAAGAUCUGAAUUUGGGCUGAGCCCACAUAUUGGAAGCCUAACCGGGGGGGAUCCCUUUCCUUCCCUUCUUUCAUUCCUAGAGAUGGAGAAGAGGAGGAAGGAACUCGCCACUACAGCCGAUCCAGAUACCACCAGUAGUCACUGGCUUGCAUUGAGGAACCGCUAUCCAGCUCUCGUCUUGCAGAGUAUAUUUUAUUUUUGAAUUACUGAACUCAAUUGGAAAAAAAAUAUAUAUGGCUGUUGCUUAUUUGCUUAGUUUCUAUUUUUUUCACUAUUAUAUGUUUCUUAAUUUGGAGUAGUUAAACUAGGAUUUCGGUAAUAUGCACGGAUGCAAAGUUAAUUUACUUGCUGAAAAUAAGACAGAUAUUUAAUUUACUAUGUAUACGGAUGAUUGGUUUCCUUAAUAAAUGGAUGUUAGUUUCAAUAAGACGGAUGUUUAAUUUACUAUAUAUACGGAUGGUUGGUUUCCUUCAAUAAAAGAAUGUUUGUAUAUGGAUGGUUGGUUUCCUUCAUAUAGAAAUCGCCAUCGAAGUGACUGAUGUUGUGAAACCGAAGCAUGUUAUGGUGGUCCCAAAUGAAGGGAUGCAAAUUUCUAAAGAACCAGGGAAAAAAAGAUUCUUGAAAAUCAAGUUUGAUGUUAUGUUCCCUUCAAGGCUUUCCACAUAUCAGAAGCAUGAGCUUAAGAUGAUUAUGAGAAAGGGUUAUAAAUUGUCAUCAUGAACAUGAUAUAUAUAAAUAAACUAAUUCUUUCAAUCUUUUAUUACUUACACUGAUAUAUGUAUGUAGUGUAAUUUCCAACUCUAGUCUUGAAGAAAUUGUGCAUAAUACUAAUAAAUAAGGCAUGGUUGGUUACUGCUACCCAGGUUUUGAAAUUGAUAGCAAAAAAUCAUUACUGUGUGAAAAUUGAAAAAUGAAAACUUUUUGUGUUUGUAACUUGAGAAUUGUCUAUUAAGGUAGUUAAAUAUAGUUAUAUUGUAAUUUACAUAACUAAGUAUAACACCACAAGUGGCCUUGGAUUUUGUUUUAUUAAUAUUAUUAUAACACGUUACUACUUGUUAUGUGUAAAGUGUGUAUGUUUCACCUUAUGAGUGGUUUCAGUUAAAGAAGUUAUAGGCUUCUUAUUUAGUUUGUCAUAUUAAUUGCUUAUUAUAAAAAUGACUUGUCUCUAGAUAUUUUCCUAAGGACUAAGGUCCCAUGACAUGAUAUUAUUAUGAAUUAACGUUGGAUUUGAGUUAAGCCAUUAAAUAUGGUACACGAGUGAUAUUUUGGUCAAUUUAUUAGUUAUUUAUCAUUAACUAAAGCAGAUGUUUAUUUUAUUGUGUAUGGAGAUAGUGCUUUCAUAGGAAAAGUUGAUGUUUAUUUGGGUUAUACCAUUGAUUUUUUGUUUGAUUUGCUAGAUUCUGCGUACACAUGUUUUAUAGGUUUCUUUUGCUAUGUGGUUUGAAUUAGAUUUAGUUUAAUUUUGCUUGAAUUAAAGUUAGAUUUGAGUUAAGUCAUUUAAACAUGAUGCACGAGUGGUGUUUUGGUCAAUUUGUUAGUUAUUUCUUAUCAACUAAAGUGGGUGUUCAUUUUACUAUAUAUGCAGAUGAUUCUUUCAUAUGAAAAAGUGGAUAUUUAUGAGUUAUACCAUUGGUCUUUUGCUUGAUUUGCUACAUUCUUCUUGCACAUACUCUAUAGGUUUUUUUGCUAUGUGGUUUGGGAGUUAGGAAAAUAAAUUCAAUUAGAUUUAAUUUAAGCAAGCUUAAAUUGAAGUUGGGUUUGAGUUAAGCUAAUUAAGCACAGUUUGAUGGAUGUUUCUUUGUUUUUGUGUAAAAACACAAGGAGAAGAUUUGUGUUCAAAUGGACAAUUCAACUAUAUCUGAGGAAACUGUGUGUUUACUUAUGGAUAAUUUUAUGCCUUGGUGAAUUAUGGUAGAGACAAAUCUUGGUGACCAAGAAGAUGUUCUUGUAUAAAAUGUGUUUUCUUAGUCUAUGAGAAUUUGUAAUGGCAAAUAUAUUAAUUGAUGUAGAAAUAUUAUAUCUAGUUGCUCUUUUGAUGGCAGCGUAUAGUAGAAAUUUUGUUUCACAUACUGUCUAUGCUUAUAUUUUAAUGGGAAAAGGAAUGUACAUUAAGGGAAAAAAGAAUUAUACUCCAUCUAAAGAUAAAGAAGGAAUCUUAUUUCCAUUUACGUAGAUGAAUUUAUAUUAAAGAAAAAAAGAAUAACAUUAUCUUCUAUAUUCUAAUUCUUUAUAUGUUUCAUGUAGUGUACAUAUACACAAUUGUUUUGUUACAAUAUGAAGAAGCUCUAAUCCAGACUUCGUGAAUGUAUAGUUAAAACCGAACCAUCUCAUAAACCUAUUUUCAUACAUCAAAACAUCCAAAUAACAAGAAGCUUUGAUUCUAACUUCAUGAAUCUAU